rnacentral:rRNA from 1 species
GUGGCGAGUGGCGGACGGGUGAGGAAUACAUCGGAAUCUACCUUUUCGUGGGGGAUAACGUAGGGAAACUUACGCUAAUACCGCAUACGACCUUCGGGUGAAAGCAGGGGACCUUCGGGCCUUGCGCGGAUAGAUGAGCCGAUGUCGGAUUAGCUAGUUGGCGGGGUAAAGGCCCACCAAGGCGACGAUCCGUAGCUGGUCUGAGAGGAUGAUCAGCCACACUGGAACUGAGACACGGUCCAGACUCCUACGGGAGGCAGCAGUGGGGAAUAUUGGACAAUGGGCGCAAGCCUGAUCCAGCCAUACCGCGUGGGUGAAGAAGGCCUUCGGGUUGUAAAGCCCUUUUGUUGGGAAAGAAAAGCAGUCGGCUAAUACCCGGUUGUUCUGACGGUACCCAAAGAAUAAGCACCGGCUAACUUCGUGCCAGCAGCCGCGGUAAUACGAAGGGUGCAAGCGUUACUCGGAAUUACUGGGCGUAAAGCGUGCGUAGGUGGUUGUUUAAGUCUGUUGUGAAAGCCCUGGGCUCAACCUGGGAAUUGCAGUGGAUACUGGGCGACUAGAGUGUGGUAGAGGGUAGUGGAAUUCCCGGUGUAGCAGUGAAAUGCGUAGAGAUCGGGAGGAACAUCCAUGGCGAAGGCAGCUACCUGGACCAACACUGACACUGAGGCAC